UACGGAGGGUGCAAGCGUUGUCCGGAAUCACUGGGCGUAAAGGGCGCGUAGGCGGCCUGGUAAGUAGGGGGUGAAAUCCUGCGGCUUAACCGCAGGGCUGCCUUCUAAACUGUCAGGCUUGAGCACGGUAGAGGCAGAUGGAAUUCCCGGUGUAGCGGUGGAAUGCGUAGAGAUCGGGAAGAACAUCAGUGGCGAAGGCGGUCUGCUGGGCCGUUGCUGACGCUGAUGCGCGACAGCGUGGGGAGCAAACAGG
rnacentral:rRNA from 1 species